rnacentral:lncRNA from 1 species
CCAGCACUACAUUUAACCAACUACAUUACUUUGGGCAAGUUUUUUCAUCUUUUUCCAGAGUUUUCCCAACUGUAAAAUGGAAAUAAUAUGAUAAAUUGCCACAUAAAGUGAUUUUAAGGAUUAAAACAGGUAAUUUUUAAAAAAGAAAGCUAUGAAGAAUGACAAGAUGCGUGGAGUAACCAGGCUUUGUGGCACACAUUUGUAAUUCCAGUAGCCAAAAGGCUGAGGCAGGAGGAUGGCAAGUUCAAGGCCAACCUCAGUAAUUUAGUAAGGCCAUAAACAACUUUGUGAGAUCCUGUCUCAAAAUAAAAAAUAAGAAGGGCUGGGGGUGUGACUCAGCCCUCUAGGGUUCAAUAACCAGUAUCAAAGAAAAAAAAAUGUCAUGAAUGCUAAGUAAUUGUUACCUGUAUUAUUAUUAGUAGUACUAGUGGUAGUAAACUAUUCCUCCUCUUAGUCUUAUGAGAAAUGUACAGAUUAGAGAUCUGUGUAAUUAUCUCAGUAUGAAAGUGCCACAUCUGUUCUUAAAGAACUCAUACAAGAGUGCCACCCUUUUUUUAAAGAAAGAUAAUUUCUAGAGCUAGUAUUAGAGUCCUUUUGUUCUUAAAUUUCCUUCUAAGGGGUGAAUUUUUCUUCUUACUGACAUGAUAUGAAACUCACAAACCUCAAAAGAACUGUUCAUUUCCAACCACUACAUUUCUGGAUAGAAAAAGCUUCUUUCAUUCUGCUUCAACUGCUCUUUAUAGUAGCAGUGUUUGGGAAGUGUGAAGUGUUCUGACUAUUUAACAAGAGAAAUGAGCAGUGAUAGAACUGUCUGGACAGAUGGUGUGAGUCCCAGAUUUUCUAUCACGUUACUGUGACCUUAAAAGACAGAGAAAAGAACAGGAGAUGGCUGUGUGAAAUAGUUUCUUUGGAAGAUUCCCCUAGCCAUAUGCCAUUUUCAUUCUUUUCGGCACUGUUUACUUUAAGGAAAUCUAUUUUUAACACUACCAUUCCUAGGGGGGAAGAACCCAAACCUUUAAAACUAAUGUAAGGGUCUUUUUAUCUUUUAUAAUACUCUAUUUUUUAUUCAUGUGUAGUUCAUGCUGAGAAACAUAAUAGAAAGUGUGCCAUUUUUUAAGAGACUGAAAGGAACUCUGGAGAGAAAGAUUCUCUUCUUUCUAAACUUUACUCUGCUUGCCUACAGAAAAAUGUCUUGGUCAUAAGAUUGAAUAAUAAUUUGAAUAUUAACAGCAAAAAUAAAGAUACAGCUAGCAGGGUAUCUGUUAGAUAUAAGGCACUAUGAUAGGUACUUUAUGUAUUUAAUUUUAGAUAAUCCUUAUAUUGUCACAGUGGGCUAGGUAUUUUCACCAGUUGUUAGACAUGAGGAAACUACAGCUCAGAGAAGUAAAGUAAUUUUAUUCAAGAUCAUUGGCCAUGAAUGUCAGAGCCAAAAUUUAACCUCAGACGUGUUCAACUUGAGCCUAAAUGUUUUCUGCUAAGAGUUAAAAGGGUAAGUGAGUUAAUGUAACUCAUUUAGAACAGUGCCUGCCACAUUAUAAGUACCAUGUCAGAAUUAGCUACUGCCACUACUAUCAUUACUAUGUGGCUAUUACUACUGCUAUGCUGUAUAGGCACAAAGCAUAGCACUUAAACACAGCACUGACUUAGUUUUCUAUUCUCUGGGCAAGCAUUUUCUUACAGGUAUCAUAACACUCAUUCUGUUCACUCUUUUUAACUCCUGAACAUAAAGUCAUCUUUU